rnacentral:misc_RNA from 1 species
AACGCACAUUGCGCCCGCUAGUAUUCUGGCGGGCAUGCCUGUUCGAGCGUCAUUUCAACCCUCAAGCCUCCGGGUUUGGUGUUGGGAGACGGCCCCGCCUGCCGGUGCCGCCCCCGAAAUACAGUGGCGGUCUCGCCGUUUGCCUCCUCUGCGUAGUAGAAACACAUCGCACUGGGACGCGGCGCGGCCAUGCCGUUAAACGCCCUACUUCUCAAGGUUGACCUCGGAUCAGGUAGGAAUACCCGCUGAACUUAA